AACGAACGCUGGCGGCGCGCCUAAUACAUGCAAGUCGAGCGAGAAGACGUAGCAAUACGUUUGUAAAGCGGCGAACGGGUGAGGAAUACAUGGGUAACCUACCCUCGAGUGGGGAAUAACUAGCCGAAAGGUUAGCUAAUACCGCGUACGCUCCUUGGACUUCGGUUCAGGGAGGAAAGCGAUACCGUGGGUAUCGCGCUCAUGGAUGGGCUCAUGUCCUAUCAGCUUGUUGGUGAGGUAACGGCUCACCAAGGCUUCGACGGGUAGCUGGUCUGAGGGGACGAUCAGCCACACUGGCACUGCGACACGGGCCAGACUCCUACGGGAGGCAGCAGUAAGGAAUAUUGCGCAAUGGGCGAAAGCCUGACGCAGCGACGCCGCGU
rnacentral:rRNA from 1 species